rnacentral:rRNA from 1 species
AGGAUGAACGCUAGCGGCAGGCUUAAUACAUGCAAGUCGAGGGGCAGCAGGUCUGUAGCAAUACAGAUGCUGGCGACCGGCAAACGGGUGCGGAACACGUACAGAACCUUCCUUUAAGCGGGGGAUAGCCCAGAGAAAUUUGGAUUAAUACCCCAUAGUAUUAUUGAGUGGCAUCACUUAAUGAUUAAAGAUUUAUCACUUAAAGAUGGCUGUGCGGCUGAUUAGGUAGUUGGCGGGGUAAUGGCCCACCAAGCCUUCGAUCAGUAACUGGUGUGAGAGCACGACCAGUCACACGGGCACUGAGACACGGGCCCGACUCCUACGGGAGGCAGCAGUAAGGAAUAUUGGGCAAUGGAGGCAACUCUGACCCAGCCAUGCCGCGUGGAGGAUGAAGGCCCUCUGGGUUGUAAACUCCUUUUACCUGGGACGAAACCUUCCUUUUCCAAGGGAGUUGACGGUACCAGGGGAAUAAGCACCGGCUAACUCCGUGCCAGCAGCCGCGGUAAUACGGAGGGUGCAAGCGUUAUCCGGAUUCACUGGGUUUAAAGGGUGCGUAGGCGGACCGGUAAGUCCGUGGUGAAAUCUCCGAGCUUAACUCGGAAACUGCCAUGGAUACUACUGGUCUUGAAUACUGUGAAGGUGAGCGGAAUAUGUCAUGUAGCGGUGAAAUGCUUAGAUAUGACAUAGAACACCAAUUGCGAAGGCAGCUCACUGCGCAGUCAUUGACGCUGAGGCACGAAAGCGUGGAGAUCAAACAGGAUUAGAUACCCUGGUAGUCCACGCCCUAAACGAUGGAUACUCGACAUACGUGAUAUGACAAUGUGUGUCUGAGCGAAAGCAUUAAGUAUCCCACCUGGGAAGUACGACCGCAAGGUUGAAACUCAAAGGAAUUGGCGGGGGUCCGCACAAGCGGUGGAGCAUGUGGUUUAAUUCGAUGAUACGCGAGGAACCUUACCUGGGCUAGAAUGCUGAGUGACCGCGGGUGAAGCUCGCUUUGUCGCAGACACACUCAGUAAGUGCUGCAUGGCUGUCGUCAGCUCGUGCCGUGGAGGUUGUUGGGUUAAGUCCCGCACGAGCGCACCCCAUCAGUAGUGCAUCAGUACGCUGGGACUCUACUGAAACUGCGUCGUAAGACUGAGAAAGGAGGGGCAUGAUGUCAAGUCAUCAUGGCCUUAUGGCAAGGCUACACACCGGCUACAUGGGGCCCGUUACAAAGGGGCCGUGUCUCCACCUUUUAACUGCCACUUAGCGAUAAGGAGCCAAUCCCAAAAAACGCCUCUCAGUUCAGAUCGCAGUCUGCAACUCGACUGCGUGAAGCUGGAAUCGCUAGUAAUCGUAUAUCAGCAAUGAUACGGUGAAUACGUUCCCGGACCUUGCACACACCGCCCGUCAAGCCAUGGAAGCCGGGUGUACCUAAAGUCGGUAACCGCCAAGGAGCCGCCUAGGGUAAAACUGGUAACUGGGGCUAAGUCGUAACAAGGUAGCCGUAUCGGAAGGUGCGGCUGGAUC